rnacentral:tRNA from 1 species
GGGUGCUUAGCUCAGCUGGGAGAGCAUCGCCCUUACAAGGCGAGAGUCGCAGGUUCGAUCCCUGCAGCACCCACCA